UAACCACUCAAGCCUAGCUUGGUAUUAGGGUUCGCGGUCUCGCGGCUCCUAAAAUCAGUGGCGGUGCCGUCUGGCUCUAAGCGUAGUAAUUUUCUCGCUAUGGAGUCCGGGUGGUUGCUUGCUAAAAACCAACUCCUCACGG
rnacentral:misc_RNA from 1 species